rnacentral:rRNA from 1 species
AUUGAACGCUGGCGGCAGGCCUAACACAUGCAAGUCGAACGAGUGGCGGACGGGUGAGUAAUGUCUGGGAAACUGCCCGAUGGAGGGGGAUAACUACUGGAAACGGUAGCUAAUACCGCAUACCAUCGGAUGUGCCCAGAUGGGAUUAGCUAGUAGGUGGGGUAACGGCUCACCUAGGCGACGAUCCCUAGCUGGUCUGAGCGGAUGACACCCCCCACUGGAACUGAGCCACGGUCCAGACGCCACCACUACCACCACUUAUUUAAUAUUGCACAGUGUGCGCAAGCCUAGUACGGCCAUGCCGCGUGUAUGAAGAGCUCCUUCGGGUUUUAAAGUCCUUUCAGCGAGGAGGCGUUACUCGCAGAAGAAGCACCGGCUAACUCCGUGCCAGCAGCCGCGGUAAUAC